rnacentral:rRNA from 1 species
UCCAGACUCUUACGGGAGGCAGCAGUGGGGAAUAUUGGACAAUGGGGGGAACCCUGAUCCAGCGACGCCGCGUGAGUGAAGAAGUAUUUCGGUAUGUAAAGCUCUCUCAGCAGGGAAGAAAGAAAUGACGGUACCUGACUAAGAAGCCCCGGCUAACUACGUGCCAGCAGCCGCGGUAAUACGUAGGGGGCAAGCGUUAUCCGGAUUUACUGGGUGUAAAGGGAGCGUAGACGGCUAUGCAAGUCUGGAGUGAAAGGCGGGGGCCCAACCCCCGGACUGCUCUGGAAACUGUAGAGCUAGAGUGCAGGAGAGGUAAGUGGAAUUCCUAGUGUAGCGGUGAAAUGCGUAGAUAUUAGGAGGAACACCAGUGGCGAAGGCGGCUUACUGGACUGCAACUGACGUUGAGGCUCGAAAGCGUGGGGAGCAAACAGGAUUAGAUACCCCUGUA